AGAUGUUGGGUAAUGUAAUUAGGUAAUGGGUUAAUAAUCAAGUUUGUGAUAUUGGGGCUUAGAGGUCUGAUUAAUUGGGCUUACUGUUGUAAUAAACUGGACAUUUAUUUAUUUUAUAUAUAUAUUUUUUUUUUUUUUGGUUUUAAUACUUGGGUUCGGGCCGGGCAAAAUUUGGGUAUUACAACUUGAUCUUAGAAAACUUCUUUGGCAAGCUCCUUGAGUUGAUUGGCAUUGACAACUUCAUUGAUUGUUGGUUGAGGAUGUUUGACAAC
rnacentral:lncRNA from 1 species